GAUGAACGCUGGCGGCGUGCUUAACACAUGCAAGUCGAACGGAAAGGCCUUAGCUUGCUGGGGUGCUCGAGUGGCGAACGGGUGAGUAACACGUAGGUGAUCUGCCUUUCACUUCGGGAUAAGCUUGGGAAACUGGGUCUAAUACCGGAUAUUCACGGCACCGUGGUUGGUGUGGUGGAAAGCUUUUGCGGUGGGAGAUGAGCUUGCGGCCUAUCAGCUUGUUGGUGGGGUAAUGGCCUACCAAGGCGGCGACGGGUAGCCGGCCUGAGAGGGUGUGCGGCCACAUUGGGACUGAGAUACGGCCCAGACUCCUACGGGAGGCAGCAGUGGGGAAUUUUGCACAAUGGGCGGAAGCCUGAUGCAGCGACGCCGUGUGGGGGAUGAAGGCCUUCGGGUUGUAAACUCCUUUCGUCAGGGACGAAGUUUGUUUGACGGUACCUGGAUAAGAAGCACCGGCUAACUACGUG
rnacentral:rRNA from 1 species